rnacentral:rRNA from 1 species
CCCGAGGAAAAGAAAUCAACCGAGAUUCCCCCAGUAGCGGCGAGCGAACGGGGAGGAGCCCAGAGCCUGAAUCAGCAUGUGUGUUAGUGGAAGCGUCUGGAAAGGCGCGCGAUACAGGGUGACAGCCCCGUACACAAAAGCGCAUGUGCUGUGAGCUCGAUGAGUAGGGCGGGACACGUGGUAUCCUGUCUGAAUAUGGGGGGACCAUCCUCCAAGGCUAAAUACUCCUGACUGACCGAUAGUGAACCAGUACCGUGAGGGAAAGGCGAAAAGAACCCCGGCGAGGGGAGUGAAAAAGAACCUGAAACCGUGUACGUACAAGCAGUGGGAGCACAGGUUUACCUGUGUGACUGCGUACCUUUUGUAUAAUGGGUCAGCGACUUAUAUUCUGUAGCAAGGUUAACCGUAUAGGGGAGCCGGAGGGAAACCGAGUCUUAACCGGGCGUUAAGUUGCAGGGUAUAGACCCGAAACCCGGUGAUCUAGCCAUGGGCAGGUUGAAGGUUGGGUAACACUAACUGGAGGACCGAACCGACUAAUGUUGAAAAAUUAGCGGAUGACCUGUGGCUGGGGGUGAAAGGCCAAUCAAACCGGGAGAUAGCUGGUUCUCCCCGAAAGCUAUUUAGGUAGCGCCUCGUGAAUUCAUCUCCGGGGGUAGAGCACUGUUUCGGCUAGGGGGCCAUCCCGGCUUACCAACCCGAUGCAAACUGCGAAUACCGGAGAAUGUUAUCACGGGAGACACACGGCGGGUGCUAACGUCCGUCGUGAAGAGGGAAACAACCCAG